AUUGAACGCUGGCGGCAUGCUUUACACAUGCAAGUCGAACGGUAACAGGUUAAGCUGACGAGUGGCGAACGGGUGAGUAAUGCAUCGGAACGUGCCCGAUCGUGGGGGAUAACGCAGCGAAAGCUGCGCUAAUACCGCAUACGAUCUGAGGAUGAAAGCGGGGGACCGUAAGGCCUCGCGCGAUCGGAGCGGCCGAUGUCAGAUUAGGUAGUUGGUGGGGUAAAGGCCCACCAAGCCGACGAUCUGUAGCUGGUCUGAGAGGACGACCAGCCACACUGGGACUGAGACACGGCCCAGACUCCUACGGGAGGCAGCAGUGGGGAAUUUUGGACAAUGGGCGAAAGCCUGAUCCAGCAAUGCCGCGUGCAGGAAGAAGGCCUUCGGGUUGUAAACUGCUUUUGUACGGAGCGAAAAGGUCCUUCUAAUACAAGGGGCUCAUGACGGUACCGUAAGAAUAAGCACCGGCUAACUACGUGCCAGCCGCCGCAGUAA
rnacentral:rRNA from 1 species